rnacentral:pre_miRNA from 12 species
UGUUCAGGUUGCUCACUGCAUAAUCCUAGAGGGCUCCAUUCACAUGGAGUAUGGUGUGAAUGGUGCCCUUAGAGUUGUGCAGUGCACAACAUGCCC